rfam:Brachypodium distachyon strain Bd21 chromosome 1, whole genome shotgun sequence.
UUUGUACUCCCUCCGAUCCAUAUUAAUUGUCUCAAAUUUGCCUAAAUAUGGAUGAAUAUAUGCCUAAAAAUCGUCUGGAUACAUGUAAUACUUCGACAAUUAAUAUGGAUCGGAGGGAGUAACUU